CAGUCGCCGCGGGAACACGAGGGGGGCAAGCGUUGUCCGGAAUUAUUGGGCGUAAAGCGCGCGCAGGCGGAUUGGUCAGUCUGUCUUAAAAGUUCGGGGCUUAACCCCGUGAUGGGAUGGAAACUGCCAAUCUAGAGUAUCGGAGAGGAAAGUGGAAUUCCUAGUGUAGCGGUGAAAUGCGUAGAUAUUAGGAAGAACACCAGUGGCGAAGGCGACUUUCUGGACGAAAACUGACGCUGAGGCGCGAAAGCCAGGGGAGCGAACGGGAUUAGAUACCCCCGUAGUCCCUGUCUCUCAUACC
rnacentral:rRNA from 1 species